UACAGAGACUGCAAGCGUUAUUCGGAUUCACUGGGCGUAAAGGGUGCGCAGGCGGUUGUGUGUGUCUGGUGUGAAAGCCCGGGGCUUAACCCCGGAAUUGCGCCUGAAACUACAUGACUAGAGCAUUGGAGAGGGUAGCGGAAUUCACGGUGUAGCAGUGAAAUGCGUAGAUAUCGUGAGGAACACCAGAGGCGAAGGCGGCUACCUGGACAAUUGCUGACGCUCAGGCACGAAAGCGUGGGGAGCAAAAGGG
rnacentral:rRNA from 1 species